UGGGGUAUCGUCAAGUUGGUAAGACAUGGGAUUUUGAUUCCCAUAUUCGUUGGUUCGAGUCCAGCUACCCCAA
rnacentral:tRNA from 1 species